GGGAUUGUGGCUCAGUGGCAGUGCACUUGCCUAGCAUGCGUGAGGCCCUGGGUUCGAUUCCUAGCACCA
rnacentral:tRNA from 1 species